rnacentral:rRNA from 1 species
UACGUAGGGUGCAAGCGUUAAUCGGAAUUACUGGGCGUAAAGCGUGCGCAGGCGGUUAUGUAAGACAGGUGUGAAAUCCCCGGGCUUAACCUGGGAACUGCAUUUGUGACUGCAUAGCUAGAGUACGGUAGAGGGGGGAUGGAAUUCCGCGUGUAGCAGUGAAAUGCGUAGAUAUGCGGAGGAACACCGAUGGCGAAGGCAAUCCCCUGGACCUGUACUGACGCUCAUGCACGAAAAGCGUGGGGGAGCAA